rnacentral:misc_RNA from 1 species
GUGAAUCAUCAAAUUUUUGAACGCAUAUUGCGCCUUUUUCGGAAGGCAUGUCUGUUUGAGGGCACCAUUUAACAAAUAAUGUGCAGCGUUUUUUGUUGCACACGUUGAUGAGCUUUCCAAGAAUUUUAAAUUUUUGGUGGCGCAUAAUGAACAGCGUGAAGCUUUUUUUUCAGUUCGAGUGUAGUAAAAUCUUUGCUUGGGUUGUGAUAAGCGUGAUCGCGCAAUUGGGUGUGGCGCGUCUACUAACGCUGCCCCAACGCAACCCUUUC